AGCGAACGCUGGCGGCAGGCCUAACACAUGCAAGUCGAACGAACCCUUCGGGCUUAGUGGCGGACGGGUGGGUAACACGUGGGAACGUGCCUUUUGGUUCGGAAUAACUCAGGGAAACUUGAGCUAAUACCGAAUGUGCUCUUCGGGGGAAAGAUUUAUCGCCAUAAGAGCGGCCCGCGUCUGAUUAGCUAGUUGGUGAGGUAACGGCUCACCAAGGCGACGAUCAGUAGCUGGUCUGAGAGGAUGACCAGCCACACUGGGACUGAGACACGGCCCAGACUCCUACGGGAGGCAGCAGUGGGGAAUAUUGCGCAAUGGGCGAAAGCCUGACGCAGCCAUGCCGCGUGAAUGAUGAAGGUCUUAGGAUUGUAAAAUUCUUUCACCGGGGACGAUAAUGACGGUACCCGGAGAAGAAGCCCCGGCUAACUUCGUG
rnacentral:rRNA from 1 species